rnacentral:rRNA from 1 species
GACGAACGCUGGCGGCGUGCUUAACACAUGCAAGUCGAACGGAAAGGCCUGCUCUUGUGGGGUGCUCGUGUGGCGCACGGGUGAGUAACACGUGAGUAACCUGCCCUUGACUUUGGGAUAACUUCAGGAAACUGGGGCUAAUCCCGUAUAGGCGCUCCUGCUGCAUGGUGGGGGUUGGAAAGUUUCGGCGGCUGGGGAUGGACUCGCGGCUUAUCAGCUUGAUGGUGGGGUAGUGGCUUAUCAAGGCUCGGACGGGUAGCCGGCCUGUGAGGGUGACCGGCCACAGUGGGACUGGGAUACAGCCCAGACUCCUACUGGAGGCAGCAGUGGGGAAUAUUGCACGAUGGGCGGAAGCCUGAUGCAGCAACGCCGCGUGCGGGAUGACGGCCGUCGGGUUGUAAACCGCUUGCGCCUGUGACGAAGCGGGAGUGACGGUAAUGGGUAAAGAAGCACCGGCUAACUACGUG